rnacentral:rRNA from 1 species
GCUCUGUGGAUCAGUGGCGAACGGGUGAGUAACACGUGAGCAAUCUGCCCCUGACUCUGGGAUAAGCGCUGGAAACGGCGUCUAAUACCGGAUACGAGCUGCGAAGGCAUCUUCAGCAGUUGGAAAGAAUUUCGGUCAGGGAUGAGCUCGCGGCCUAUCAGCUUGUUGGUGAGGUAAUGGCUCACCAAGGCGUCGACGGGUAGCCGGCCUGAGAGGGUGACCGGCCACACUGGGACUGAGACACGGCCCAGACUCCUACGGGAGGCAGCAGUGGGGAAUAUUGCACAAUGGGCGGAAGCCUGAUGCAGCAACGCCGCGUGAGGGAUGACGGCCUUCGGGUUGUAAACCUCUUUUAGCAGGGAAGAAGCGAAAGUGACGGUACCUGCAGAAAAAGCGCCGGCUAACUACGUGCCAGCAGCCGCGGUAAUACGUAGGGCGCAAGCGUUAUCCGGAAUUAUUGGGCGUAAAGAGCUCGUAGGCGGUCUGUCGCGUCUGCUGUGAAAUCCCGAGGCUCAACCUCGGGUCUGCAGUGGGUACGGGCAGACUAGAGUGCGGUAGGGGAGAUUGGAAUUCCUGGUGUAGCGGUGGAAUGCGCAGAUAUCAGGAGGAACACCGAUGGCGAAGGCAGAUCUCUGGGCCGUAACUGACGCUGAGGAGCG